CUAAAUAGACGUCCGAGAGCGCUUUCCUUUCUGUCCUGCAGGCCGGCGAUUGCACUGCGGGUGCUUCCGCUGCUUCAAUGGGUGGUUCCGGGCUGCCGGUGGUUCGGGUGAGGGCCUGUCAUUUGGGAGUCGCUGCCUACCAUUUUUUCGUGGAGUCUCGAUCGUUUCUUGCGGCAGGGCUUGCGAUGGCUUUGGGACUGGCUUCGGAAUUCUGGCUUGUUCCCGGUGCACUUGUAUAUUGCUGGUGUGGGCCUGCUCUGCCAAUGCGGUUGUUGUUCUGCCCUUUUCUAUGUCCUUUCUGUGGUCCUCCAGUCUCUGUCGU
rnacentral:lncRNA from 1 species